rnacentral:rRNA from 1 species
GGAGAUGGCGACCGGCGCACGGGUGAGUAACACGUAUCCAACCUGCCGAUAACUCGGGGAUAGCCUUUCGAAAGAAAGAUUAAUACCCGAUGGUAUAAUCAGACCGCAUGGUCUUGUUAUUAAAGAAUUUCGGUUAUCGAUGGGGAUGCGUUCCAUUAGGCAGUUGGUGAGGUAACGGCUCACCAAACCUUCGAUGGAUAGGGGUUCUGAGAGGAAGGUCCCCCACAUUGGAACUGAGACACGGUCCAAACUCCUACGGGAGGCAGCAGUGAGGAAUAUUGGUCAAUGGGCGCAGGCCUGAACCAGCCAAGUAGCGUGAAGGAUGACUGCCCUAUGGGUUGUAAACUUCUUUUAUAUGGGAAUAAAGUUUUCCACGUGUGGAAUUUUGUAUGUACCAUAUGAAUAAGGAUCGGCUAACUCCGUGCCAGCAGCCGCGGUAAUACGGAGGAUCCGAGCGUUAUCCGGAUUUAUUGGGUUUAAAGGGAGCGUAGGUGGACAGUUAAGUCAGUUGUGAAAGUUUGCGGCUCAACCGUAAAAUUGCAGUUGAUACUGGCUGUCUUGAGUACAGUAGAGGUGGGCGGAAUUCGUGGUGUAGCGGUGAAAUGCUUAGAUAUCACGAAGAACUCCGAUUGCGAAGGCAGCUCACUGGACUGCAACUGACACUGAUGCUCGAAAGUGUGGGUAUCAAACAGGAUUAGAUACCCUGGUAGUCCACACAGUAAACGAUGAAUACUCGCUGUUUGCGAUAUACAGUAAGCGGCCAAGCGAAAGCAUUAAGUAUUCCACCUGGGGAGUACGCCGGCAACGGUGAAACUCAAAGGAAUUGACGGGGGCCCGCACAAGCGGAGGAACAUGUGGUUUAAUUCGAUGAUACGCGAGGAACCUUACCCGGGCUUAAAUUGCAUUUGAAUAUAUUGGAAACAGUAUAGCCGUAAGGCAGAUGUGAAGGUGCUGCAUGGUUGUCGUCAGCUCGUGCCGUGAGGUGUCGGCUUAAGUGCCAUAACGAGCGCAACCCUUAUCUUUAGUUACUAACAGGUCAUGCUGAGGACUCUAGAGAGACUGCCGUCGUAAGAUGUGAGGAAGGUGGGGAUGACGUCAAAUCAGCACGGCCCUUACGUCCGGGGCUACACACGUGUUACAAUGGGGGGUACAGAAGGCAGCUACCUGGUGACAGGAUGCUAAUCCCAAAAGCCUCCCUCAGUUCGGAUCGAAGUCUGCAACCCGACUUCGUGAAGCUGGAUUCGCUAGUAAUCGCGCAUCAGCCAUGGCGCGGUGAAUACGUUCCCGGGCCUUGUACACACCGCCCGUCAAGCCAUGAAAGCCGGGGGUACCUGAAGUACGUAACCGCAAGGAGCGUCCUAGGGUAAAACUGGUAAUUGGGGCUAAAU